GACCGCUUAAGUGACCUAGGGGUUAGAUCGUCCGCCUCUGAUGUGGGAGGUCAUGGGUUCGAUCCCCAGCUGAGUCA